rnacentral:lncRNA from 1 species
GGGGGGUUGGACUAGAUGGCCUUUAAAGGUCCCUUCCAACCCAAACUGUUCUAUGAUUCCGUGAACUGCAAUGGUGUGCUAAGGGCCCCUUGCUGAGGGAGCCAAAGGGAUGUUUACAGCUGCUUCUAAGUCUGUCUCUCUAUUAUAUUAACAAAGCGAUAAUGUUCAAACAGGUUCACUGCAGCCCCAGCUCUGGGGGAAGGUGGGAGGAAAUCCACACCUAGCUGCCUCUGCAACAUUUCAGAAAGAGGAAGAAUUGUCCCUGGCACAUAGAAAAGCCUUGCUAAGCAAUCAGCUUAAGCCUUGAAGCAUGGAAUUUGAUUAUCUUUACCAUAGGGUUACUUGAGGAGGUACCUGAUGAUGCACAGCAGCUCCCCCAGCCUGCAGAAAUCUCAGAUUUGCCACCUAUGUCCACAUUCAGAGUGAAUCAAAUCUUUGGGAAAGAGUUGCACGCAUUCCUGAAAACUGGUGUGUACAGGUGUGGCAGAUCAGAUAGAUCCUGAAAGUGCCUAUUGUUUAUGUGCCUAUUGUAUAAACACGCUUAUAUUGUGCAUUUAUUCCAAAUGGAGCACAAUAGCUGGAUGGAGACAGCAGAGAUUGCAGAUAAUAUGCUCACAAACCAUCAGCAGGACAAUGGAGUAGAGCCCUUUGAAGUUCCCCACGGAGAGUCCGGCGUCCCUGGGUUAACCAAGGUAUGUACAUAGGGA